CACAUGGAGAUCAUGGAAAUAACAAGAAAACAAGAGAACCUGCCAGAUUCAAAGCAUCUACAGUUCUUACUUCUGGAGCAGGUUACAGCUGGGGGAGGGGCAGAGUUAGGGGCUGCUUUCUGGCCUCUAAAUUUUCCUAAUCCCUUUGGAGACUCUGUCAUCUGGGUCGAAACACUGAAAUCUUCUUUCUGAACCACUUCUCCAGGGCGAAGUGAAGCUGAGCGGGGAGGACGGGUCAUAAUAACGGGAGUUCACCAUGGCUGCUGCCCCACAAGCCCCACACCACGCUGGCCCACUGGUCCUCCAACCCCCAGGGGGUAUCUUUGCCUCUAGGUGAGAGGCGAGGCAACUGAGGAUCUAAGUCACACAGCUUGGAGCACCAGCACUGUGCUGCUUACCUGCCGGCCAGGCUGACAGGUGAUUCCAGCCUGUGUCAGCUCUCAGAAGAGUCUCUUACAUCAUCUUCUUGAAAGUUUUUGCUUAAAAAGUUAAGGUUUGAGGCCUCCCACCUGCCCCUGCCAAUCACUCCGUAGCUGCAAGUAGAGGACCCAGAGCUGUUUUGAGGCCCCGUUCAAGGUCUUGAAGCAAACCAGCCCCUCCCACGCCCUGGGGAGCUCUCUCAGGGCCCGAGGACAGGACAUGGCUGAUGGAGGGGCGCUAAAGCCACCCAUGGCUGCAGACUCUUUCCUUUAAACACAUGGCCCCUUCCUCCAUCCCUUUCUCUGGCGCUCCGUUAUGGACGGGGAGACACGCCUAAGACUGUGCCCACAUACCUCGGGCUAUUUCAUUCACGUGCAAUUGGUUACGGGGAGGAGGUGGGCAAGUUCUUUCCACUGGAGAAAGUAUAUAAUUGUGAUGUGGCCCAGUCCCCUUCCUGCUUCCCCCAGGAGAAGUCACAGUCAGGGAUGGAGCAUUCAAAACCCAAACUCUACCCUGGAGGAGGCUGCAGGCUGGGUGGGGACGCAGCCUCAAGGAGGUUUGGCUUCAGCAUGACGGGAUGUGGCUUCCCUCUGACCUCCACCGUUCCCAGGCCACUCGGGGGGGACUAUGCUGCUCUUCAGCACUGGUGAGA